AAAUUGAAGAGUUUGAUCAUGGCUCAGAUUGAACGCUGGCGGCAGGCCUAACACAUGCAAGUCGAGCGGUAGCACAGAGAGCUUGCUCUCGGGUGACGAGCGGCGGACGGGUGAGUAAUGUCUGGGAAACUGCCUGAUGGAGGGGGAUAACUACUGGAAACGGUAGCUAAUACCGCAUAACGUCGCAAGACCAAAGUGGGGGACCUUCGGGCCUCAUGCCAUCAGAUGUGCCCAGAUGGGAUUAGCUGGUAGGUGGGGUAACGGCUCACCUAGGCGACGAUCCCUAGCUGGUCUGAGAGGAUGACCAGCCACACUGGAACUGAGACACGGUCCAGACUCCUACGGGAGGCAGCAGUGGGGAAUAUUGCACAAUGGGCGCAAGCCUGAUGCAGCCAUGCCGCGUGUGUGAAGAAGGCCUUCGGGUUGUAAAGCACUUUCAGCGGGGAGGAAGGCGAUAAGGUUAAUAACCUUGUCGAUUGACGUUACCCGCAGAAGAAGCACCGGCUAACUCCGUGCCAGCAGCCGCGGUAAUACGGAGGGUGCAAGCGUUAAUCGGAAUUACUGGGCGUAAAGCGCACGCAGGCGGUCUGUCAAGUCGGAUGUGAAAUCCCCGGGCUCAACCUGGGAACUGCAUUCGAAACUGGCAGGCUAGAGUCUUGUAGAGGGGGGUAGAAUUCCAGGUGUAGCGGUGAAAUGCGUAGAGAUCUGGAGGAAUACCGGUGGCGAAGGCGGCCCCCUGGACAAAGACUGACGCUCAGGUGCGAAAGCGUGGGGAGCAAACAGGAUUAGAUACCCUGGUAGUCCACGCUGUAAACGAUGUCGAUUUGGAGGUUGUGCCCUUGAGGCGUGGCUUCCGGAGCUAACGCGUUAAAUCGACCGCCUGGGGAGUACGGCCGCAAGGUUAAAACUCAAAUGAAUUGACGGGGGCCCGCACAAGCGGUGGAGCAUGUGGUUUAAUUCGAUGCAACGCGAAGAACCUUACCUGGUCUUGACAUCCACAGAACUUUCCAGAGAUGGAUUGGUGCCUUCGGGAACUGUGAGACAGGUGCUGCAUGGCUGUCGUCAGCUCGUGUUGUGAAAUGUUGGGUUAAGUCCCGCAACGAGCGCAACCCUUAUCCUUUGUUGCCAGCGGUCCGGCCGGGAACUCAAAGGAGACUGCCAGUGAUAAACUGGAGGAAGGUGGGGAUGACGUCAAGUCAUCAUGGCCCUUACGACCAGGGCUACACACGUGCUACAAUGGCAUAUACAAAGAGAAGCGACCUCGCGAGAGCAAGCGGACCUCAUAAAGUAUGUCGUAGUCCGGAUUGGAGUCUGCAACUCGACUCCAUGAAGUCGGAAUCGCUAGUAAUCGUAGAUCAGAAUGCUACGGUGAAUACGUUCCCGGGCCUUGUACACACCGCCCGUCACACCAUGGGAGUGGGUUGCAAAAGAAGUAGGUAGCUUAACCUUCGGGAGGGCGCUUACCACUUUGUGAUUCAUGACUGGGGUGAAGUCGUAACAAGGUAACCGUAGGGGAACCUGCGGUUGGAUCACCUCCUUA
rnacentral:rRNA from 1 species